UACGUAGGGUGCAAGCGUUAAUCGGAAUUACUGGGCGUAAAGCGUGCGCAGGCGGUUGUGUAAGACAGAUGUGAAAUCCCCGGGCUCCAACCUGGGAACUGCAUUUGUGACUGCACAGCUGGAGUGCGGCAGAGGGGGAUGGAAUUCCGCGUGUAGCAGUGAAAUGCGUAGAUAUGCGGAGGAACACCGAUGGCGAAGGCAAUCCCCUGGGCC
rnacentral:rRNA from 1 species